rnacentral:rRNA from 1 species
GAUGAACGCUGGCGGCGUGCCUAAUACAUGCAAGUCGAGCGAACAGACGAGGAGCUUGCUCCUCUGACGUUAGCGGCGGACGGGUGAGUAACACGUGGAUAACCUACCUAUAAGACUGGGAUAACUUCGGGAAACCGGAGCUAAUACCGGAUAAUAUAUUGAACCGCAUGGUUCAAUAGUGAAAGACGGUUUUGCUGUCACUUAUAGAUGGAUCCGCGCCGCAUUAGCUAGUUGGUAAGGUAACGGCUUACCAAGGCAACGAUGCGUAGCCGACCUGAGAGGGUGCUCGGCCACACUAGAACUGAGACACGGUCCAGACUCCUACGGGAGGCAGCAGUAGGGAAUCUUCCGCAAUGGGCGAAAGCCUGACGGAGCAACGCCGCGUGAGUGAUGAAGGUCUUCGGAUCGUAAAACUCUGUUAUUAGGGAAGAACAAAUGUGUAAGUAACUAUGCACGUCUUGACGGUACCUAAUCAGAAAGCCACGGCUAACUACGUG